rnacentral:rRNA from 1 species
UACGUAGGGUGCGAGCGUUAAUCGGAAUUACUGGGCGUAAAGCGUGCGCAGGCGGUUUUGUAAGCCAGAUGUGAAAUCCCCGGGCUCAACCUGGGAAUGGCAUUUGGGACUGCAAGGCUGGAGUGCGGCAGAGGAGACUGGAAUUCCUGGUGUAGCAGUGAAAUGCGUAGAUAUCAGGAGGAAUACCGAUGGCGAAGGCAGGUCUCUGGGCUGGCACUGACGCUCAUGCACGAAAGCGUGGG